UUGGUCAGACUCACGGAGGAUAAUGAGCUGGCGUCGCUCGCCCGGGGUCACUCCACGUUCUGAUUGGUCGAAAUCAGUAACCAAUAGGAAUCCGACGUGGAGAGCGAGAGCAAUGAGGCGAGCGGCAAAUUCAAGCAAAAUACCAAAGACUGGUUACAAUGUCUUAAAAACGUAAAUAUUCCUUUGCAAGCUAGCACAGGAUUCCGACCUGGAGCCAGUUACUGUGUGGCCGAGGUCUUUAACAACGUCAAUCAGAAGAGGAGGAGGAUUUGAUUGGUUGGCACGUUGCCAGUGUAUUGUCAGUCACCGAGUGUAAACAAGACUCUGAUUGGCUGCUCGCCAGUCCUCAUUGGGCUAUCUGGAAAAAAAAGGAAGAAAUAACUGGAUCUGCGGUUUCAAGGCGUCCCAGGUUAGAAAUGAUGAAAACAGAUAAGAAGGAACUGUUUCAAGGCGCUCCAAAAGGCGGACCCUCUGUGGCCCUGGAGCCGUACUCGGAGGACGCGAGAAGACGUAGAGAAAGAAAUGUUCGAUGUGCUGAAGGAUUCAAAUUUGUUGCGCAGUAUCUGGAACAGAUAAACAUGAAACAGUCACAUGGCGGAUCUCGGAGCACAACGGUAAGAAUGAAGAAAAACGGGAAAAAGAAGAGUUUGGAUCAGCUUUACUCGAACCGUUUUAUUCUGAGCGAUAGAUGAAUUAAGCAUAAAGCCCGACAGAACCGAAAAAGGGAUACACAAAAACGCUACGCUAAGAUAUUGUGAUAUAUAAAAGGGUUACAAAAAAAGGGGAAGGAAAUAUGUAUCAUUUGUGUUGACAUUCUUUACUUCAAUCUGUUUCGUUGAAAGGUAUGUGCUCUUAUCUAAGAGGAAAUGUGCUUAUAUAUAGUAGACUAUUUUAAUUUUGGCUUAAUAAUGUUUGAGAUUUACAGGAUACAUAAAAUUGUCUCAUGCACAGCUCUUUGGGCAAAAUUCUAUAAAAUUCUAUUAUUUUUUUUCUACCAAAUCUGACCUUGUAGAGUGGUGUAGUGACGUGUAUACAGAUAUGUGUACUGAGAAACAUUUAAUACUUGUAUUUUUUUUCUCUCUCUCCAUUGUUGUUACCAUAUGUCAGCAUGAAUUAUGUACAGAAUUGUAGUGAAAAUAUAUGUAGAUACAGAAUGAGCAAUUUACGAAUAGAAAGAAGAAAAUAUCAAGAAAAUGACAGGUCUCUGAUUGACAGUCCAGCUCUGUCUCAAGGAAGCAAGAACUGAUUCUCUGAAACACAAAAGGGUUUGUGUGUGUGUGUGUGUGUGUGUGUGUGUGUGUGUGUGUGUGUGUGUGUGUGUGUGUGUGUGUGUGUGUGUGUGUGUGUGUGUGUGUAAACCACGUUUUUGUGUUUAUAUACCAAAUGCUUUUUACAAAUCACUCAUUAAGAUAUAAUAAUAAUAAUAAUAAUAAUAAUAAUAAUAAUAAUAAUAAUAAUAAUGCUACAUCAUGCAAUAGGUCCACCUUGGAAAUUGAGCCCGAACAUUGUUUUCCAUUUUGAGUUUAUGCAAAACAAAUGCAAUUAUUUUUAUCAAAUAAAAUAAAAUAAAAACCUGCUUUGUCUGUCUUUGCUUAGCUAGUUUUAACUGCUUUGUCUUUACAGUUCAGAUUUUUUUGUGUGUUUUACUGUAAUUCAUUGUUACUGUUAAUACAGAGAUCUGUUACUACAAGAAAGAAAGAAAGAAAGAAAGAAAGAAAGAAAGAAAGAAAGAAAAAGAAAGAAAGAAGAAAAAAUCAGCAUACAGAGAGCAAUGUUUGUGUGUGUGUCUGUGUCCCAUUCAUGUCGGUUGUAUUAAAAAAUGGAUGCAUUAAAAAAAAAACAAUGGAGAGGACUGCAUAGGCCCAAACACCUAACUGAAGUGUUUGCGUCUGGUAAAGGCUGCUCUAAAGUGCAUAGAGAGGAAAAAAGGAUUUCCUGAUGAUGCCACUUCAAAGCCAUUUUUACAAAUGAUAAUUUCUCUGUGUUAGGUCUGAAUUUAAAUGUAGCAUGGGGUAAUUUAGUCCACAUUGGUUGCUGAUAAAUGAAAUAAAUAAAUAAAUAAAUACAUAAAUAAAUAAAUAAAUAAUGUUUGUUUUAUACUCUUCAGUGAAAAUAUGGUUGAUGAAACAUGAAAUGUUGAAAACAUAAUGUAUUUGGUGUGAUAUUACAGAGGUGGGAAAUCUACGUGCAGUUAUCAUAUACAAUAUGUAACCAUGGAUGCAAUAAAUACUUUAAUUUGA